UGCGGUUUAAUUGGAUUCAACNCCGGGAAAACUCACCAGUGCCGACNGACAGAUGAAAGCCAGUGUGAUGAGCUUGCUNGAUUGUUCGAGAGGUAGUGCAUGNCCGCCGUCAGUUCGUACCGUAAGGCGUUCUGUUAAGUCAGAUAACGAACGAGACCCUCAUCCCUAUUUGCUAAGGUUUCUCCCUUCGGGGCGAGAUCACAGGACUAUAGGGAGACCGCUGGCGAGAAGUCAGAGGAAGGUGAGGGCAACGGUAGGUCAGUAUGCUCCGAAUGCACUGGGCUACACGCGCAAUACAAAGGACGGGACAAUGGGCCGCUGCUCCGAGAGGAAAGAUGGCUAUCCCGAAACCCGUUCGUAGUUCGGAUUGAGGGCUGUAACUCGCCCUCAUGAAGCUGGAUUAGGUAGUAAUCGCGUCUCAAAAAGGCGCGGUGAAUAUGCCCCUGCUCCUUGCACACACCGCCCGUCAAACCAUCUUAGUUGGGGGUGGGUGAGGCUGCCUUUUAGUGGGGUAUUCGAGCCUGCCUUCGACAAGGAGGGUUAAGUCGUAACAAGGUA
rnacentral:rRNA from 1 species